GAUGAACGCUGGCGGCGUGCCUAAUACAUGCAAGUCGAGCGAACAGAUGAGGAGCUUGCUCCUCUGACGUUAGCGGCGGACGGGUGAGUAACACGUGGAUAACCUACCUAUAAGACUGGGAUAACUACGGGAAACCGGAGCUAAUACCGGAUAAGAUAUUGAACCGCAUGGUUCAAUAGUGAAAGACGGUUUUGCUGUCACUUAUAGAUGGAUCCGCGCCGCAUUAGCUAGUUGGUAAGGUAACGGCUUACAAAGGCACCGAUGCGUAACCGACCUGAGAGAGUGGACGCCCACACUCGAACUAAGACAGGGUACAGACACCAACGGGAGGCAGCUGUAGGGAAGAUUCGGCAAUGGGGGCAAGCUUGACGGGGCACAGCCGGGUACGUGAUAACGGUCUACAGAUCGUAAAACUCUGUUAUUAGUGAAGAGCAAAUGUGUAAGUAACUAUGCACGUCUUGACAGUACCUAAACAGAAACCCACGGCUAACUACGUG
rnacentral:rRNA from 1 species